rnacentral:rRNA from 1 species
CCUACGGGUGGCAGCAGUGGGGAAUAUUGGACAAUGGGCGAAAGCCUGAUCCAGCCAUGCCGCGUGUGUGAAGAAGGCCUUCGGGUUGUAAAGCACUUUCAGUGGGGAAGAAAGCCUUGGGGCUAAUACCCUCGAGGAAGGACAUCACCCACAGAAGAAGCACCGGCUAACUCCGUGCCAGCGCCGCGGUAAUACGGAGGGUGCGAGCGUUAAUCGGAAUUACUGGGCGUAAAGCGCGCGUAGGCGGUCUGAUAAGCCGGUUGUGAAAGCCCCGGGCUCAACCUGGGAACGGCAUCCGGAACUGUCAGGCUAGAGUGCAGGAGAGGAAGGUAGAAUUCCCGGUGUAGCGGUGAAAUGCGUAGAGAUCGGGAGGAAUACCAGUGGCGAAGGCGGCCUUCUGGACUGACACUGACGCUGAGGUGCGAAAGCGUGGGUAGCAAACAGGAUUAGAUACCCGAGUAGUC